CAUUUUAGCUUCCUCUGAAUUGGAGCAGCACUGGUGGCCCUGAACUUUCCUCCUGCAGCUCUGACGGCAUUGGCGUUGUUUCAAAGGGAACAUUCUUACCGAUGGCCCAUAAAUACCUAAGGGAAAGGAGAAAGACCAGAGCUGCAUUAAUGCUUGAUCCCUAGAAGCCAGAGUAAUCCUUUAAAAUGUAUGUC